AGCCUCUAGCCCUCUUGGCCUCUGCUUCACUUCCUGCCUCUGGCUGUAUUUCCUGCUCUGCCUUCUCUUAAUGAUGGACUCUAACCUGUAAGCCAAAGGAAUUCAGUUCUCCCAAAGUUGUUAGUCAUGGUCUUUAUCAGAGUAAGGAAAUAUAUAAUACCAUAAUAAAUAAUUGUUACUGUCAUGGAACGGAAUUAAUAGUUGACAGAUAAACCUUCAAUGACUUACACAAAAAUGGAUGCCAAUAUGAUCAUGGAUACUUAGCAGUAAAUGCUUCUGAAAUGGCCAGAUAAAAUAAAUCCAAGUAUGGUGGCUGGGCUGACACUUGUAAUACCAUCGCUGAGGUACAAAGAUUGCAGUUGAUUCUUGGUUCAGGUUGCUUUCUUUUUUCUUUUUUUUUUUUUAAGAUUUAUUUAUUUGUUAUAUGUAAGUACACUGUAGCUAUCUUCAGACACACCAGAAGAGGGAGUCAGAUCUUGUUAGGGAUGGUUGUGAGCCACCAUGUGGUUGCUGGGAUUUGAACUCAGAACCUUCGGAAGAGCAGUUGGGUGCUCUUACCUGCUGAGCCAUCUCACCAGCCCCUCAGGUUGCUUUCAAUGUCUUGAGGAAGACAAGCAAAAUAUAAACUCAAUCUUUUCUUUUUUUGCUACAGAGGCCACUACAGGAAUGAAAGCAGACAGGGAUGGGAACAAAUAUUUACAAAUCAUGUACCUCAUAAAGGACUUCUAGAUAAAAAGACAAUAAUCAUAAAAUUGAAAUUAUACUUGUUUGGAUUUCAGCUGCCUUUGUCACAUACAGUACACCUAGGAUAGAAGCAAGGCACUUCUCAGUGCCUUUAAUGAUUAUGCACCUUAAAGGCACCACACCCUGGAGGCAAGAACCGAACAGGAAAAUAACAGAAAGGUUUUGGAGGUAGAGAUGGGGGGAUGUGAAUGGAGGAAUGGGUCAGGGAAAGAGGCCUAAUCUGGUACACUGUGUGACUGUAUAAAUGAAGCUUAGGACUGGGGAUGCCUAAGAGCACUGGGUGUUUCUCCCGGGGACCACAUCCAGUUCCCAGCAGCGCACAGUGGGUCACAGUUGUCUGUGGCUCCAGCUCCUGCAUAUACAGGGCACUUUCCUGGGCAGUGGGCGCACUUGUUGUAUUCAUGUGGAGCAGCCAAACAUGCAGGCAAAAACCCUCAGAGCCAUAAGAAUGGAGAGAGUAGUUUUUUUUCUCUUUGUGUGUUUAUGAUCGAUCAGCUUAGUCUGAUCCCAUUUUCUAUAAGCACGGGGCACUUUCAAACACGUGAUCCUCCUGCCUGAGCCUCCCAGAAACUAUAUUUGUAGACAGGGCCACUGUAAACAAAUAUGUAUAAGAAGGCGGUUUUGAUUUGUUUGAAUUUUUUCUUUUUUUUUAGCGAACCUUUUAUGUUUGUGUGUGUGUACACGUUAGCAUGCAUAUGUGUAUUAGCGUGUGUGUUCAUGCAUACAUGUAUACUGAAGAAGGAAACUCAACUCUUUUUGGUUUUUCAAGAAAGGGUUUCUCUGUGUAGCCCUGGCUGUCCUGGAACUCACUCUGUAGACCAGGCUGGCUUCGAACUCAGAAAUCUGCCUGCCUCUGCCUCGAAACUUAACUCUUAUAGUUGAAUUUUACUCAUCUUUCCAAGUCUAAACUUACUGAUUUAUUUGUUGUUUCAAAAACCUAUUUAUUUUUUACUUGUUCAAGGACUUGGGAGGAGCUCUGGAGAAUUUCAGGUGAAGGUCCUGAGGCUGGCUAGUGCAGAGCAGAGGAGGAGCCCUAAGAGGGCAGGGAGAUAGUCUAGUUGUGCUUGAGUUGAAAAUGAGCUGCUCAAAGAGAUACACAUGCAGAGACGAUAGCUGGAGCGAGCGCUUCUGCGAUGGAUGUGCCACUCAAGAAGAUACACAUGCUCAAAGAGAUGCGCACGCAGAAAAGGUGGCCCAACCAGCAUAAGAAGGUUGGUCAGCCAGGUGGUUGUCCAUCUUCUGAAUGAACUUUACUCAUUGUCUAGGAAAUAAUUAUUCAAGAAAUCACAGAGAUGCGGGUCUGGUUCAGGGUCUUCUCCAGUGCCAAGACAGCCUGACUUCUGCCAGUUUGCAGAAGUGGCCUACCCAGAGCCAUGUAUGUCAUCCCGAUCAAAACAGAAGCCCAGAGAGAGAGAGAAGUGGGUGAGGGAGGCCCUCAGGUACAGAUUGACCAGGUGGUUCAUGUCAGCCUCUGCUUUGAUGGGAUAAUUUUGUUGGAUCUGGGAAGUCCUGGCUGACCCACAGUGGGAAGCUAAGCGCAAAAAGACAGUGCUGGCUGGUCUUAGGAGCCAACAGCUGAGAAGAUGGUCUGGGAGGUUGUGACUGGAGAGACUGAUUAUAAGGCAGCCGAGAGCUAAUGAAGAUGGAGUCCCCGGGUCAGUUCCUCCAAAGACACCGAUCCACCCGACCUCUGAUCCCGAUUGACUUUUUUUUUUUUUUUUUUUGGUUUUUCGAGACAGGAUUUCUCUGUGUAGCCCUGGCUGUCCUGGAACUCACUCUGUAGACCAGGCUGGCCUCAAGCUCAGAAAUCCACCUGCCUCUGCCUCCCGAGUGCUGGGAUUAAAGGCAUGUGCCACCAUGCCCGGCUUAGAUUGACUUUUUUGAUGAGUGCCUUCACUUAACUUUUUGAAUACUUAGAAGCUAUAACUUCAUCCACCAUUAAUGGCAACAGUUCCUUUACUUUGGAAGAAUUCAGAUAAUCCUACCUGCCUCAACAUAUUUUCUCAAAGGAUUUACAAACAGAUUUACACAAAAUGUGUAUGUAACCAUCUACCAAGAACCAGAUUGUCAAAGGGAUGGGGAACCAGUGUUCAUCAACACAGGAUUGAAGCAAUAAGAUGUGGUUUAUUCCUACCAUGAACUAUUAUUCAUCAAUGAAAAUAAAUCCAAUGAUGUUAAUGCGCUCUCUGGCCUGCAACUCACUACCAUCAGGCUAGCCCCAAACUUAAAGAUACAGCUUAGAUAGAGGUCCUAGCCCAGAGGGAAUUUUAAAAUCACCUCUCUACCUAUUUAGUUGUGGUUUGAAUAUUGAAUCCAAGACCUUUCUAUGUGCCAGACAAAUGCUACUGAGAUCCAUGCACACACACACUUAAAAGUAUUUGCUUAUAGCUGUCUGGUGGUAGUGCACUGUUUAAUCCCAGCACUUGGGAGGCAGGGGUUAGGCAAAGCCUGGUCUACAGAGUUCCAAGACAGCAAGGGCUACUCAGAGAAACCUUGUCUCGGGGAGGAAAAAGUAUAUUCCAGAACUGGAAACCAGGCAUUGUACACACUAUAGACAAGUGUGCUUCACUGAGGUUUGUCUCCAUCCCUCAGGCUGAGGAAUAGAGGUGGGUGUGCUCACUGGACUCUUUCUCAAUCAAUAAAAGGAUACAGUGGUGGCGGGGAGGAGCUGGAGAGGCCCGACUGGUCUACAGAGUGAGUUCCAGGACAGCCAGGGCUAUACAGAGAAACCCUUCUCGAAAAACCAAACCAAACC
rnacentral:lncRNA from 1 species